UUGUUCUGUCCCGUUUGUUAGAAAAGCUUUUGCAAAUAUCUUGUCUGAGGUAAAUUGUCAUUUUAAACACAUUUAGUGAGUGUGAAUAAUAUGAUUUUUGUCUCUAUAUAUAUUUAUGAUGCUCUGGCAGUUUUAGUUACUGUAUAAAGUGUAUUAUUAUGAUCUGUAUGAUAGUUUGAGUGCUUACAAUGGCAGCAAAUUUAAAAACAAAACAAACAAAAGAUGUUUACAUUGACAUUAUUUAAGUUAGUUCAGAUUUUUUGACAACCAUUUUGUUAUGCACAGUGCAAUCUGAUUUACGUUAUUGUAUAUCAGAUGUAUGAAAUGUACAGUGAUUUAAUGAACAGGUGUUUCAUAUCAUAGUCAUUUGCCAUACUGUGGAUUUUAAACACAUCAAGGGCUGGAAAUGACUGAAUAAAUUUCUUGCCUUUUUCCUUAGCUAAUAUUUCCCUCAUAUAUGUUUCCUCUCUUCUUGUGUGUUAACAGGUCAUUGGCACUGCUGUAUCACAACAUCAUUUGCUGGCAUGUACAUCUAGGAUGCGAUCAAUCCAGAUGAGAUUCUCUCCAAUGCCAGCAAACCGACAGUGGAAGACACGAGCCAGCACUUCUCCCACCACAUUGCCUCAGGCUUUUGAGAUACCCACUUAUAACUGCUUCUCCCCCCUAUGUUGGAAUCACCGGGGCCUCCAUCGCCCGGCAUGUACACGCUACAUUAGGUGUAGGUAAGACGCACACUCACUGCUUCCCUGGUGCUUGUGUUAUCAAUGUUUCUGUGCAGGUGCCUGGGAUAAUGAAGACAAUUUGGGUUGUCGUGUUACACGCCAGGUGAACAACAUCAGAGUGCGGCAGUCAGAGAUCCUAAAGAAGGACUCCAUAUGUUUAGUCGAGACAGUACGCCGUACAUCUCUUACGACGAGGAUAUUUGUUUCAGGACUGCUUUCCCGAUACUGACAAGGACAUUUAAGCAUUUAUGUGAGCUGCAGUCUGGAUCCUGCCUCUGUCAGAUGACCUAACACAAAUGGAAAGAUGACAUCGACCCUUGCAAGGACUUCAGACGAUCCCAGCACUGGACUACAUACAGUGGUAAUCAUAUUUUCAGUAGUCCGUGUCAAAUUUUCUUUCAAGUGUUUGGGUGAGAUCUAGACCGAGGACUAAGGCGUAUACUAGGACAGAACUAAGUGUUGUGGCCCACAGGUGAUCCUAAAGCAACAAAGAGGAACCAUGGAGAGGAAGAAGUAGUAUCCAGAUGUUUAAAAGGCGGUGUUCGGGACAGGAAACAAAGGCAACAAAGAGGAACCUCUAAGGUUUAAAGGCACUGCUUGCAGAGACGAGUGCAGAAAACAAGACAGAAGACCUGUCGAGAAUGUUUUAUGAUUAAAUGUUUUUGUUAUGUACAUGCACAUUAUUAUUUACAAUAUAUUUCUAAGAUACAUAAAUAUGUGACCUUGUAUAUGAAAUCCAGGCUACUGUCUUAAAAUCUAAUGACAUCUAAAGUUUGAAUUUACUGAUUUAACAUUGAGUUCAGUCUUUGGCAUGACCUUACUCAGUCAGUAUUGAAUAUGUCAAGAUUAUAUUUUCAGAGAAUGUUUUCUGAAUUGUGUAGGAUGAUUUUAUGUAGAAAACAGUAAGUCACAAAGAAAUACUUUGCUGGGUUUUCACAGGCCGUGUCCCAUUUGUACAACAUAUGUGAAUUAUCUUGAGACUAAAACUUCUGAAAUCCAAACUGUUAUAUUUUAGCAUUUCAAAUGCAGCCACCCUUUGCCUAGAAUUUGAAAUAUAUACCCUUGGGUUUUUUCAGUAAUUUUUUGACAUCUCACCCUGAGAUAUUUUUAAAGAAAUUUCUAUGUAUUAUGGGCUUGAAUUACUUGUUUAUUUUAUCAUUUUGUCCAAGUAAUUUGAAAAAAGUUUAAACUUAAAUUUUAGUUCUCAAUUAAAAUAAAUGUAUAUGUUGAGACUAUAUUUUUGUCCACAAACGUAAUUGAAUCAUAUACUUUAAGAGUAUAUUAUUUUGAAGGGUAUAAGAAAUAUUUUAGUUAAGUGUAAGUAAAACGUUUACACAGUAGUAUAGCAGUGUAUAAUAGUUACAGAAUAUGUAAUUUAUGUGUGACACAUGUAAAUAUUCUGUUACUGAUUUAUCCAAGUUGUUUAUGUGUUAUAU